CAGCAGCCACGGGAAUACGUAGGGUGCAAGCGUUAAUCGGAAUUACUGGGCGUAAAGCGUGCGCAGGCGGUUAUAUAAGUCAGAUGUGAAAUCCCCGGGCUCAACCUGGGAACUGCAUUUGAGACUGUAUGGCUAGAGUGUGUCAGAGGGGGGUAGAAUUCCACGCGUAGCAGUGAAAUGCGUAGAUAUGUGGAGGAAUACCGAUGGCGAAGGCAGCCCCCUGGGAUAACACUGACGCUCAUGCACGAAAGCGUGGGGAGCAAACAGGAUUAGAUACCCGCGUAGUCCCUGUCUCUUAUAC
rnacentral:rRNA from 1 species